UCCCUCAUUUAUCUUAAUUUUAUUUUAAGACGUAUUAGAUUACUUCCAAGAGUGAAAUAUUUGAUUGUAUUUAUUUUCUAAAUUGUGUUAAUGCUGUGAUGUCAUCAACGGGAGCCAUGCACAUGUUCACAAGAAAGGACAAGCAAAAGUUAUAUCGUCACUGAUUUAGUGUUGCAUUACAGUUUCUAGGAAUAUAUAUUAAUGUGAAUGGGGAUAAUGUUUGAGUACAAUUUGUAAUAAAUAUAUCAUGCUACCAUUAUAAGCUUGCUAGUUGCAACAUAGAAGUUAAUCAUACGCUUAUUAAGUAGGACGCUGUUGGAACCCAUCCUGUAUUACUUAAGUUGUCUACUGAGCCUCUCUAUCAAUGUUUGGUCAGUGUUUGGCCACACAGGGUGAGCCAAUAUAGAUUAGGCAUUGCACAGUAUCGAGUGAGCACACACACACACAUACACACAUAGUCACCCACCAAGAUGCAGGGCCCCAAGUGGAAAACAUGAAACGCCCUAAUCACAAGGGUUUGCAACACAAGAUUAGGCUGCAACAUCUUGUGACCGAAAGACACACACACAGACAUGUCAAAACAACUUGCACACCACACACACACACACGCACACACACGCACAUAACUUCUCCUUUUUGUCGAGCAUUCAAGGACAAAGAACUUACACCAGAACCAAUAGGAGAAAGACACCAGCAACACUGAGGAAGGAGCUGAACCCGAGGACCAAUCAGACGAGAGGAACCUCCUAGACUCAACCUACAUCAUUUGUUGUAUAAAAUGUCAAUGCACAAUGUCUUGGGGCCUUUUUCUGAUAGUUCCCUCUGAGCUAAAUGAACGGGUCCGUGCAUGCUUUGUCAGAUAUUUUUACCUUUAAUAAACUGCCUUGAAUCAUACCUUAUCCACCUGGUCCAGCAUCUCAACUUGGUCUCUCUCCUCUAGUAACUGUAUCAUCAACAAACAACUAGCCCAACUACCGUUAGUUUUGUUGGGGGAGAGUGCCUCUUUCAGGUGCAGACAUCUCAUUAAAAAGAGAGACAACCGGCAGAAUUGUGUCCAGAACCUUGUCUUCCACCCACACCUUUCCAGAACACAAUGCAGAAAGGUGCCAAUCACCAUAUAAGUUCAAAGAAGAAAGUACCCUGUUGACUCAUCUGUAGGAAAGUUGUGUUUCUCUUUUGGUCCAUUCAACAACAGAGCGAUACGAACAUUGUUUCAGCAGGAUGUUGUAUCUUUACCUUAUGUCAUGCCUUAUUGGAAUGGAUUUAUUUAUAAUAUCUGUUGGAAAAAAGUUUGGAUGUUGCCACACACAUACCUACUUGUUAACAAAAUUAAGGAAGUUUCCUUUAAAAUUAUUCAUAAAUAUUAUCCUGCCAACCACUAUAUGAAGAAGUUUAAGGAAAACAUCAACUCAAAUUGCUCAUUUUGUAAUGACCACCCAGAAACAGUGUUGCAUUUUUUGGGGCAUUGUAUUCAUGUAAGAAAACUGUGGCAAGACAUCAGUAGAUUUAUAAUUGAACACAUUUAUGAAGAUUUUACACUAUUGUGGAUAGAUUUACUGCUUGGAUUCUUUACAUACGAUAGAAAUAAGCUGAAACAUUUUUAUGUAAUUAAUUUCAUUAUUCUUUUGACAAAAUUUCAUAUACACAAAUGUAAAUUUACUUACAAAAAAACACAUUUUCUUACCCUACAAAAAGAAAUUGAAUUGUAUUUUAAGACAGUUAAAUACUCUACUAACAAAAAAGCUGUUAGAACUGUAAGUGUAUGUAUGUCCCUUAUGGUCCUUGUGUAAUUGUAAUGUGAUAUUGUACCCCCUAGCUCGAUUGUCCAGUGUAUGUAGUCUAUAUGUACUUGUGUUCCCUCAUGUACUUUCUGUGUUGAUUUGUUGUUAAUAAAAACUAAAAAUAAUAGUAAAAGUUCAAAGAAGAAAAGGCCUGGAAGGAGGAGAGAUGACUGGGAACGAUUCGUUUGACUGUUUUAUGUGUAGACAAAUUGUCGGAGUAUAGGACCUUGUGCAUUUCAGGUCAAAUAACAACUCAAUGUUUUAUAUCCCAGGACAAAUUAGCUAGCAUGUGCAAGCUAUCUAGCUAAAUUACCAUAAGUGUUUAAUGUUUUUCGACCAGUCCCCAAGUUAAUGUAAUUGGUUCAGAGUUUGUUUUGAUAUUUUAACCUGCGUGUUGUGAUUGUGUUUGGUGUGGGGGGACAAAAUAAAUGUAUGCACGAACGCA